rnacentral:rRNA from 1 species
GACGAACGCUGGCGGCGUGCUUAACACAUGCAAGUCGAACGGAAAGGCCCUGCUCUUGUGGGUUGCUCGAGUGGCGAACGGGUGAGUAACACGUGAGUAACCUGCCCUUGACUUUGGGAUAACUUCAGGAAACUGCGGCUAAUACCGGAUAGGAGCUCCUGCUGCAUGGUGGGGGUUGGAAAGAUUCGGCGGUGGGGGAUGGACUCGCGGCUUAUCAGCUUGUUGGUGAGGUAGUGGCUUACAAAGGCUUUGACGGGUAGCCGGCCUGGGAGGGUGACCGGCCACAUUGGGACUGAGAUACGGCGCAGACUCCUACGGGAGGCAGCAGGGGGGAAUAUUGCACAAUGGGCGGAAGCCUGAUGCAGCAACGCCGCGUGCGGGAUAACGGCCUUCGGGUUGUAAACCACUUUCGCAGGUGACGAAGCGUGAGUGACGGUAAUGGGUAAGGAAGCACCGGCUAACUACGUG